UACGUAGGGGGCAAGCGUUGUCCGGAUUUAUUGGGCGUAAAGAGCGUGUAGGCGGCCAGAUAGGUCAGCUGUGAAAACUCGAGGCUCAACCUCGAGACGUCGGUUGAAACCAUCUGGCUAGAGUCCGGAAGAGGAGAGUGGAAUUCCCGGGUGUAGCGGUGAAAUGCGCAGAUAUCGGGAAGAACACCCGUGGCGAAGGCGGCUCUCUGGGACGGUACUGACGCUGAGACGCGAAAGCGUGGGGAGCGAACAGG
rnacentral:rRNA from 1 species